UAAUAUAAUUUUUGUGAUGCUAAAUAACAGAAAACGGUGACCGUAAAAUGGUACCGUAAGAAAACGAUAGUAAGUUUAAAUUUGUGUGUGUAACUAAGUUAAACUAAGAAAAGAGACCAUGUUAGUAUGGAAAUAACAAAUUUAAACAUACCUUAAAAGACAAGGGGGCUAAUGUGUAAAUGUGUAAUAUAUUUAAUAAAAAAAAAAGAAGCCAGUAUGUGUGUCUGGCUCUGGAUCGAUCGAACAAAGGCAAGGGAAGGGUGAAACCCUAGUUUCACUAAUUUCAUCAAAUUGGGAAGAAAUCUCAAGGAAGCUUGGAUGCAUGAACCUGAAUGUUGAUCAUUUAAGUGUCUCUAACACAAAAAUGAGAUAAUAGGAGCGUGUCAAGGAGAGGUCAAGCAUAGGAGGAUAACGGGUCAAGAUAAGGCAAGGUGACAAAUACACUUAUUGGAGUACUCAAGGUAAGUGGAUUUCGAUUCACUUUUUAGUAGGUUUAAUAGAUUUUAAUACUUAUGUUUAUGAAAAAUCAUGAAAGAAAAUGUAAUAAUCAGAAGUACAAAGCUAAUAAUGCCUCAUUAUUGAAGAAGGUUGUUAUGUAAGCCGAAAGUAAAUUGGUGGGUUUAAACGGGUCGGAUUUUAUGUGCAUGGGUUGCGUAAUGUAAUGAAAUUUGUUAUGGUUAAGACCUUGGGUAAGAAUUUUUAGUCAAUUAUGUAAGGGGAAUAUUUUCCGGACCAUUAGGAACAAGUUUUAUAUGAUUCGGUUGUGUAUGGGUCAAGACAUGGUAGUUCUAAUGUUUAAAAUGGAAGUUGAGCUGGGCACUACCGUAGCUUACGGUAGCCACCGUAAGCUACGGUGGGUUCUGAAGUCUUUUUGGCCACCGCAAGGCAGCAACACUUCACCGUAGGGGUUUUAUGGCCACCGUAAGCUACGGUAGCCACCGUAGCUUACGGUGGAACUGUCGCGCUCCGCAUAAUAGUAAGCUAUGGCUUACGCGGCCCGCGAGGGACCGUGCUGUUGGCGUUUUGCUGAAAUUGUGAUGUUUUGAGUAUGGAACUUGUUUAAAAAUGAUUUUUUUUAAGGCCACAUACGUUAUGAUAAGGAUGGUUUCGUAUAUCAAUGAUGCUAAGGUUGUUGGUUAGUGAAUGAAUGGAUUGUUUCGUGUCAGUGUAGGAAAUUUUAUAAGUAUAUGUGUAUAGGAAUCCAAAAGGCACGUGGGUUGAAUCAUAGAUGGUCUAUACUAUGUAAGGUUGUAAAUGUGUCAUUUCGGCAUAAACCUACAUGUGCGAAAUGGUAAAAGGAGCUUGUGAAUAUAUUCGUGAUUAAUUGAUUGUGCGUAGGAAGGAAAAUUGGCACGUAUGAAGGUACGCAUGUAUAUAUAAGUAUAUAUAUGUAUGUAUGUAUGAUAAUAAGUACGUAGGUGUGAAUGUAUGUGUGAAUGAAUGUUCCAUGCUUAAGACAUAUGCAUGAACGUUAUCAAAGUGUUCGAGUAUUUAUGAUUACUAAUGAUGUGCAUUGAGUUGGAAUGUAAUGUAGGUAUGGAUUGUUGGUUUCAUGAAGAAAUGGAGCUGGAUUUGGAUAAGAGUAUUUAAGAAAGCGCUUGGACAAUUCCAUGAUUACUUUAUAGAAUGCUCUACGAAAUUCUAUUAUAUAGUUUAAUGUUGUAUGUUAUGUUAAUGACUAACGGUUUGGUUGUACGUGGUGUCCACAGGUAUCGUUUGGGUUUUCUCUACAUUUAUUGAAGUGAAGCGGACUUAGUUCGAGUUGAGAGCAAGGAUUGUACGAGGUAGAAUGGCCACAUAGUGUAACUCAUAUAGGUUUUGAAGUAUUAAGGUUAUAAAACGUUAUAAAUCCGUUUUAAUGAAUAUAUGGCAUUUCGCAUUUGAACCUUCAUGUGUAUGAUAUGCUAUUAAAGAACGAAAUUUUUGGGCUCUUAUUUUCCGCUGUGUCGUAUUUUAAGUUAAUACACGUUAGUCUUACAGGGAAUUGUUUUUAUUACGAACGGGUCAUGCCCGAAUUUUGUUCAAUUAUAGUAUGAUAACAUUACAUUUUGUAAUGUGUAAUUUGGACGUUACAAGUUGGUAUCAGAGCCCUGGUUUGAGAGAAAUCAAGUAGAAGGAGGUAUAUACUUGAACUCAAACCUGUGUGCUCUUGUGACAAGGAACCCGUACAAUCCAAGACUCGAUCAAGGCCUAAAGUUAAAAGCGAAUGUAAGUAUGUAUUAAUUUAUGUAUUUAAAGGAAACUAAUAGUAUGUUAUGUGAAGGGUAAGCACAAUUGCUUGGAAAGGAUGAUCUGUGGAUGUGGUCUAGGACCAGCACCAAGGCAUGUAAUAAGACAUAAUGACCCAGGUACGUAAAAGCAUAUGGGUGCACGUAAUGCAAAAAUUUAUUGAGCCAAGGAAAAUUUUAAUGAAAUAUAAUAAUAGAAUGGACACGAAGUUAUGAAAAUGAUACACGUGCCGAAACCUAAUUCUUCGGACAUAAGGUGACGAUUACACAAAGGCACGAAACUAGUAUGUGGAAUGUGUGUGUACCUGGCCAGUACACAAGAAACAUAUGACGUUCGUGAGACUGUGAUGAUUGUUACAAGCAUGUCCGUUAGAAUUAGUUGGUAGGUGGACAUGAGCGUAAAAAGAAAUGUAAGACUUUCAGGAAUGAAAGUAUGAAUGAUAUGUUAGAAUCCGUGAGACGGAUUCGAAACAUGAAAGGAAGGAAAGUAUGAAUGAUAUGUUAGAAUCCGCGAGACGGAUUCGAAACAUGAAAAGAAGGAAAGUAUGAAUGAUAUGUUAGAAUCCGCGAGACGGAUUCGAAACAUGAAAGGAAGGAAAGUAUGAAUGAUAUGUCAGAAUUCGCGAGACGGAUUCGAAACAUGAAAGGAAGGAAAGUAUGAAUAAUAUGCUAGAAUCCGCGAGACGGAUUCGAAACAUUAAAGGAAUGAAAGUAUAAAUGAUAUGUUAGAAACCGCUUAACGGGUUCGAAACAAACGAUAAGAAUGAAAAGAUUCGAAUGUGUAGGUAAUUACAGACUAAGCAAUUAAAUAUUCUUUAAAAAGCAAAUAUUAUUCAAGUUAUGUCUUAAACUUAUACAUAUACAAAUAUGUUUGUAUGUGAGAAUGGUUAAAAAGACGAAUGAGUCAUGCAGGUCAAAUGGUAACCGCCACUUAAACCCGACAUUUAAUGUUUUGAAUUGUUAAGUUUUAUACUUGUAGGAGAGCAUAAUGUUUGGCACGUAAACAUAAACCUUAGUCGAAAGAAAUAAAAUUUGAAAUAAGUUACAUGUAAGACAUGGAAUUAAUUAACUCAUGGGAGUCGAAAUGAAUGACAUCUAUGACCUAGACAAAUGAGUUAAAGAUUUGAAAAAAAAAAUGAAUGGGUAUGCAUUGACCCGUCAUUAACGGGUCAAACCAAGAAAUUUACGUGAUAAGUAAUGGUCAUGUAUCGACCUGUUUUGAACAGGUUGAACACACUAAUGUUUUAAACAGAAAUCGAGAAAGGAUAAAUAGGAAAAUAAGGUGGUCUAAUAAACAUCAUGUUUGAAUGAAAUCAAAAGAAAUGUGUAAACCCCUAAUUUUAUAAUGAGAAUGGCAGGAAUUAGGAUGAGAUAAAUCUAGCAAGGUCAAUGAAAGAAUGCUCAUGAGCAAAAGCUCAUUACACGGAUUAAUGAGGUCAAUCCGGAAGAUGGUAUGAAUGGUAAUGAAGAGGAUCGGUUCGGUCUUACAUGCCGAAGCACUGCGCCAAAGAAAAUGAGAUAAUAGGAGCGUGUCAAGGAGAGGUCAAGCAUAGGAGGAUAACGGGUCAAGAUAAGGCAAGGUGACAAAUACACUUAUUGGAGUACUCAAGGUAAGUGGAUUUCGAUUCACUUUUUAGUAGGUUUAAUAGAUUUUAAUACUUAUGUUUAUGAAAAAUCAUGAAAGAAAAUGUAAUAAUCAGAAGUACAAAGCUAAUAAUGCCUCAUUAUUGAAGAAGGUUGUUAUGUAAGCCGAAAGUAAAUUGGUGGGUUUAAACGGGUCGGAUUUUAUGUGCAUGGGUUGCGUAAUGUAAUGAAAUUUGUUAUGGUUAAGACCUUGGGUAAGAAUUUUUAGUCAAUUAUGUAAGGGGAAUAUUUUCCGGACCAUUAGGAACAAGUUUUAUAUGAUUCGGUUGUGUAUGGGUCAAGACAUGGUAGUUCUAAUGUUUAAAAUGGAAGUUGAGCUGGGCACUACCGUAGCUUACGGUAGCCACCGUAAGCUACGGUGGGUUCUGAAGUCUUUUUGGCCACCGCAAGGCAGCAACACUUCACCGUAGGGGUUUUAUGGCCACCGUAAGCUACGGUAGCCACCGUAGCUUACGGUGGAACUGUCGCGCUCCGCAUAAUAGUAAGCUAUGGCUUACGCGGCCCGCGAGGGACCGUGCUGUUGGCGUUUUGCUGAAAUUGUGAUGUUUUGAGUAUGGAACUUGUUUAAAAAUGAUUUUUUUUUAAGGCCACAUACGUUAUGAUAAGGAUGGUUUCGUAUAUCAAUGAUGCUAAGGUUGUUGGUUAGUGAAUGAAUGGAUUGUUUCGUGUCAGUGUAGGAAAUUUUAUAAGUAUAUGUGUAUAGGAAUCCAAAAGGCAUGUGGGUUGAAUCAUAGAUGGUCUAUACUAUGUAAGGUUGUAAAUGUGUCAUUUCGGCAUAAACCUACAUGUGCGAAAUGGUAAAAGGAGCUUGUGAAUAUAUUCGUGAUUAAUUGAUUGUGCGUAGGAAGGAAAAUUGGCACGUAUGAAGGUACGCAUGUAUAUAUAAGUAUAUAUAUGUAUGUAUGUAUGAUAAUAAGUACGUAGGUGUGAAUGUAUGUGUGAAUGAAUGUUCCAUGCUUAAGACAUAUGCAUGAACGUUAUCAAAGUGUUCGAGUAUUUAUGAUUACUAAUGAUGUGCAUUGAGUUGGAAUGUAAUGUAGGUAUGGAUUGUUGGUUUCAUGAAGAAAUGGAGCUGGAUUUGGAUAAGAGUAUUUAAGAAAGCGCUUGGACAAUUCCACGAUUACUUUAUAGAAUGCUCUACGAAAUUCUAUUAUAUAGUUUAAUGUUGUAUGUUAUGUUAAUGACUAACGGUUUGGUUGUACGUGGUGUCCACAGGUAUCGUUUGGGUUUUCUCUACAUUUAUUGAAGUGAAGCGGACUUAGUUCGAGUUGAGAGCAAGGAUUGUACGGGGUAGAAUGGCCACAUAGUGUAACUCAUAUAGGUUUUGAAGUAUUAAGGUUAUAAAACGUUAUAAAUCCGUUUUAAUGAAUAUAUGGCAUUUCGCAUUUGAACCUUCAUGUGUAUGAUAUGCUAUUAAAGAACGAAAUUUUUGGGCUCUUAUUUUCCGCUGUGUCGUAUUUUAAGUUAAUACACGUUAGUCUUACAGGGAAUUGUUUUUAUUACGAACGGGUCAUGCCCGAAUUUUGUUCAAUUAUAGUAUGAUAACAUUACAUUUUGUAAUGUGUAAUUUGGACGUUACAAGUUGGUAUCAAAGCCCUGGUUUGAGAGAAAUCAAGUAGAAGGAGGUAUAUACUUGAACUCAAACCUGUGUGCUCUUGUGACAAGGAACCCGUACAAUCCAAGACUCGAUCAAGGCCUAAAGUUAAAAGCGAAUGUAAGUAUGUAUUAAUUUAUGUAUUUAAAGGAAACUAAUAGUAUGUUAUGUGAAGGGUAAGCACAAUUGCUUGGAAAGGAUGAUCUGUGGAUGUGGUCUAGGACCAGCACCAAGGCAUGUAAUAAGACAUAAUGACCCAGGUACGUAAAAGCAUAUGGGUGCACGUAAUGCAAAAAUUUAUUGAGCCAAGGAAAAUUUUAAUGAAAUAUAAUAAUAGAAUGGACACGAAGUUAUGAAAAUGAUACACGUGCCGAAACCUAAUUCUUCGGACAUAAGGUGACGAUUACACAAAGGCACGAAACUAGUAUGUGGAAUGUGUGUGUACCUGGCCAGUACACAAGAAACAUAUGACGUUCGUGAGACUGUGAUGAUUGUUACAAGCAUGUCCGUUAGAAUUAGUUGGUAGGUGGACAUGAGCGUAAAAAGAAAUGUAAGACUUUCAGGAAUGAAAGUAUGAAUGAUAUGUUAGAAUCCGUGAGACGGAUUCGAAACAUGAAAGGAAGGAAAGUAUGAAUGAUAUGUUAGAAUCCGCGAGACGGAUUCGAAACAUGAAAAGAAGGAAAGUAUGAAUGAUAUGUUAGAAUCCGCGAGACGGAUUCGAAACAUGAAAGGAAGGAAAGUAUGAAUGAUAUGUCAGAAUUCGCGAGACGGAUUCGAAACAUGAAAGGAAGGAAAGUAUGAAUAAUAUGCUAGAAUCCGCGAGACGGAUUCGAAACAUUAAAGGAAUGAAAGUAUAAAUGAUAUGUUAGAAACCGCUUGACGGGUUCGAAACAAACGAUAAGAAUGAAAAGAUUCGAAUGUGUAGGUAAUUACAGACUAAGCAAUUAAAUAUUCUUUAAAAAGCAAAUAUUAUUCAAGUUAUGUCUUAAACUUAUACAUAUACAAAUAUGUUUGUAUGUGAGAAUGGUUAAAAAGACGAAUGAGUCAUGCAGGUCAAAUGGUAACCGCCACUUAAACCCGACAUUUAAUGUUUUGAAUUGUUAAGUUUUAUACUUGUAGGAGAGCAUAAUGUUUGGCACGUAAACAUAAACCUUAGUCGAAAGAAAUAAAAUUUGAAAUAAGUUACAUGUAAGACAUGGAAUUAAUUAACUCAUGGGAGUCGAAAUGAAUGACAUCUAUGACCUAGACAAAUGAGUUAAAGAUUUGAAAAAAAAAAUGAAUGGGUAUGCAUUGACCCGUCAUUAACGGGUCAAACCAAGAAAUUUACGUGAUAAGUAAUGGUCAUGUAUCGACCUGUUUUGAACAGGUUGAACACACUAAUGUUUUAAACAGAAAUCGAGAAAGGAUAAAUAGGAAAAUAAGGUGGUCUAAUAAACAUCAUGUUUGAAUGAAAUCAAAAGAAAUGUGUAAACCCCUAAUUUUAUAAUGAGAAUGGCAGGAAUUAGGAUGAGAUAAAUCUAGCAAGGUCAAUGAAAGAAUGCUCAUGAGCAAAAGCUCAUUACACGGAUUAAUGAGGUCAAUCCGGAAGAUGGUAUGAAUGGUAAUGAAGAGGAUCGGUUCGGUCUUACAUGCCGAAGCACUGCGCCAAAGAAAAUGAGAUAAUAGGAGCGUGUCAAGGAGAGGUCAAGCAUAGGAGGAUAACGGGUCAAGAUAAGGCAAGGUGACAAAUACACUUAUUGGAGUACUCAAGGUAAGUGGAUUUCGAUUCACUUUUUAGUAGGUUUAAUAGAUUUUAAUACUUAUGUUUAUGAAAAAUCAUGAAAGAAAAUGUAAUAAUCAGAAGUACAAAGCUAAUAAUGCCUCAUUAUUGAAGAAGGUUGUUAUGUAAGCCGAAAGUAAAUUGGUGGGUUUAAACGGGUCGGAUUUUAUGUGCAUGGGUUGCGUAAUGUAAUGAAAUUUGUUAUGGUUAAGACCUUGGGUAAGAAUUUUUAGUCAAUUAUGUAAGGGGAAUAUUUUCCGGACCAUUAGGAACAAGUUUUAUAUGAUUCGGUUGUGUAUGGGUCAAGACAUGGUAGUUCUAAUGUUUAAAAUGGAAGUUGAGCUGGGCACUACCGUAGCUUACGGUAGCCACCGUAAGCUACGGUGGGUUCUGAAGUCUUUUUGGCCACCGUAAGGCAGCAACACUUCACCGUAGGGGUUUUAUGGCCACCGUAAGCUACGGUAGCCACCGUAGCUUACGGUGGAACUGUCGCGCUCCGCAUAAUAGUAAGCUAUGGCUUACGCGGCCCGCGAGGGACCGUGCUGUUGGCGUUUUGCUGAAAUUGUGAUGUUUUGAGUAUGGAACUUGUUUAAAAAUGAUUUUUUUUAAGGCCACAUACGUUAUGAUAAGGAUGGUUUCGUAUAUCAAUGAUGCUAAGGUUGUUGGUUAGUGAAUGAAUGGAUUGUUUCGUGUCAGUGUAGGAAAUUUUAUAAGUAUAUGUGUAUAGGAAUCCAAAAGGCACGUGGGUUGAAUCAUAGAUGGUCUAUACUAUGUAAGGUUGUAAAUGUGUCAUUUCGGCAUAAACCUACAUGUGCGAAAUGGUAAAAGGAGCUUGUGAAUAUAUUCGUGAUUAAUUGAUUGUGCGUAGGAAGGAAAAUUGGCACGUAUGAAGGUAAGCAUGUAUAUAUAAGUAUAUAUAUGUAUGUAUGUAUGAUAAUAAGUACGUAGGUGUGAAUGUAUGUGUGAAUGAAUGUUCCAUGCUUAAGACAUAUGCAUGAACGUUAUCAAAGUGUUCGAGUAUUUAUGAUUACUAAUGAUGUGCAUUGAGUUGGAAUGUAAUGUAGGUAUGGAUUGUUGGUUUCAUGAAGAAAUGGAGCUGGAUUUGGAUAAGAGUAUUUAAGAAAGCGCUUGGACAAUUCCACGAUUACUUUAUAGAAUGCUCUACGAAAUUCUAUUAUAUAGUUUAAUGUUGUAUGUUAUGUUAAUGACUAACGGUUUGGUUGUACGUGGUGUCCACAGGUAUCGUUUGGGUUUUCUCUACAUUUAUUGAAGUGAAGCGGACUUAGUUCGAGUUGAGAGCAAGGAUUGUACGGGGUAGAAUGGCCACAUAGUGUAACUCAUAUAGGUUUUGAAGUAUUAAGGUUAUAAAACGUUAUAAAUCCGUUUUAAUGAAUAUAUGGCAUUUCGCAUUUGAA